rnacentral:siRNA from 1 species
CAGGUUCAGAUGUGAGAAAUCUA